rnacentral:snRNA from 1 species
GCGAUGGAGUCAUCAAGAAGAUCCU